UUUCCAGACUCAAAUAAUCUUGAUUUGUCAAAUAAAUCGUGAUCAAGUAGAGAUGUAUAGUGUCAGCGAACAAUGGAGGAGGUUACGCGAAAUGAAAAUGCAUCUGCAACGUAACACAAAAAGGCUGCAAACCUUUAACAGACAAAACCAGCAACUGCAGCACAAAGUGCUACAGUUUGAACAGCAGUUGCGGCAGCAAGAAAGGCACCUGCUCCAUCGGCAACUGCAGCCACAUCAGCCACAACAACAUCAACAACAAUAUUAUCAACAAUAUCAACACCA